rnacentral:rRNA from 1 species
AGUGAACGCUGGCGGUAGGCCUAACACAUGCAAGUUGAACGGCAGCACAGUAAGAGCUUGCUCUUACGGGUGGCGAGUGGCGGACGGGUGAGGAAUACAUCGGAAUCUACUUUUUCGUGGGGGAUAACGUAGGGAAACUUACGCUAAUACCGCAUACGACCUACGGGUGAAAGCAGGGGAUCUUCGGACCUUGCGCGAUUGAAUGAGCCGAUGUCGGAUUAGCUAGUUGGCGGGGUAAAGGCCCACCAAGGCGACGAUCCGUAGCUGGUCUGAGAGGAUGAUCAGCCACACUGGAACUGAGACACGGUCCAGACUUCUACGGGAGGCAGCAGUGGGGAAUAUUGGACAAUGGGCGCAAGCCUGAUCCAGCCAUACCGCGUGGGUGAAGAAGGCCUUCGGGUUGUAAAGCCCUUUUGUUGGGAAAGAAAAGCAGCAGGUUAAUACCCCGCUGUUCUGACGGUACCCAAAGAAUAAGCACCGGCUAACUUCGUG